UGUCUGACGUCACGGACGCACCUCCCAGUUCACUUGGGCCGCGCAACCUCCGUGGCCAUCCACCCCGCGCGCAGAUGCGAAUAUUCUUGCGGCGCCGGAAGUCAAAGACACGUGACCGGGUGACAGCCCUCUCUAGGUUGCAGGGCUCGCUUGAGGAGUUGCGGCACGGGAUGGCGGAGGCGCCUCCUGUCUCAGGUACUUUUAAAUUCAACACGGAUGCUGCUGAGUUUAUUCCUCAGGAGAGAAAAAAUUCUGGUCUAAGUUGUGGGAGUCAAAGGAGACUAGAUUCUAAUAGGAUUGGUAGAAGAAAUUAUAGUUCACCACCUCCCUGUCACCUUUCCAGGCAAGUCCCUUAUGAUGACAUCUCUGCUGUUCAUCAGCAUGGUUAUCCUUUGGGAAGCAAACCUAAAAGUCAACAGAUUUCUUUUCAGUACUCUGCUUCUAACAAAUCACUCAAGAACCAUGGCCUUCAGAACCAACCUUGGCAGAAAUUGAGGAGUGAAAAACAGCAUAUCAAAGUUAAGAAAGUACAGAAUCUCACUGACCAGACCUCAGAUGCAGCUGGCUUAGAAAGUGUGGGUAGGUCAGAGAGUGGGACAAACCCCAGAGAACACAGCCCUUCUGAGAAUGAGAAGGAAAUUGUUGGUGCAGAUCCCAGGGGAGCAAAACCCAAAAAAGCAGCCCAAUUUGUGUACAGCUAUGGUAGAGGACCAAAAGUCAAGGGAAAACUCAAAUGUGAGUGGAGUUACAGAAUGACUCCAAAAUCCGAGGAUGCUGGACCUGAAAAUACCAAACCUCUGGGGGUUAUGCACCCUGACUCUUUGGAUACAUCCUUUAAAAAAGGAGUAUUGGAUGGAUAUGCAGCCAGACGCAACGAGCAGAGAAGAUACCCACAGAAAAGGCCUCCCUGGGAAGUGGAAGGGGCCAGGCCACGACCAGGCAGGAAUCCACCAAAACAAGAGGGCCAACGACUUACAAAUGCCGGACCCAGGAACAACACGGCCCCCAUUCCAAAGGAUAAUCCUAAUGAAAGACCAGCAAAAUCUGCCUGUGACAAUGGGAACUUGGCAGUCGUCAACAAGUCUUCCAGAAGGGUUGACCCAGAAAAAUGUGCUGUAAGGAGGCAGGAUCCUCAAGUAACAUCUUUCCCCCGAGGCAAACAGAACCAUGUGCUAAAGAAUGUGGAAACUCACACAGGUUCUCUAAUUGAACAGCUAACUACAGAAAAAUAUGAGUGCAUGGUGUGCUGUGAAUUGGUUCGUGUCACAGCGCCAGUGUGGAGUUGUCAGAGCUGUUAUCAUGUGUUUCAUUUGAACUGCAUAAAGAAAUGGGCAAGGUCUCCAGCAUCUCAAGCAGAUGGCCAAAGUGGUUGGAGAUGUCCUGCCUGUCAGAAUGUUUCUGCACAUGUUCCUAAUACUUACACUUGUUUCUGUGGCAAGGUGAAGAACCCUGAAUGGAGCAGAAAUGAAAUUCCACAUAGUUGUGGUGAGGUUUGUAGAAAGAAGCAGCCUGGCCAGGACUGCCCGCAUUCCUGUAACCUUCUCUGCCAUCCUGGACCUUGCCCACCCUGCCCUGCCUUUAUGACUAAAACAUGCGAAUGUGGACGAACCAGGCACACAGUUCGCUGUGGUCAGGCCGCCUCAGUCCACUGUUCCAAUCCAUGUGAGAAUCUUUUGAAUUGUGGUCAGCACCACUGUGCUGAGCUGUGCCAUGGGGGUCAAUGCCAGCCUUGUCGGAUCAUAUUGAACCAGGUAUGCUACUGUGGCAGCACUUCCCGAGAUGUGUUAUGUGGAACAGAUGUAGGAAAGUCUGAUGGAUUUGGCGACUUUGGCUGUUUAAAGAUAUGUGGCAAGGAUUUGAAAUGUGGGAACCAUACAUGUUCUCAAGUGUGCCACCCUCAGCCCUGCCAGCCAUGCCCACGGCUCCCCCAGCUGGUGCGAUGUUGCCCUUGUGGCCAAACUCCUCUCAGCCAAUUGCUAGAACUUGGAAGUAGUGGUCGGAAAACUUGCAUGGAUCCUGUCCCUUCAUGUGGAAAAGUGUGUGGCAAGCCUCUGCCAUGUGGUUCCCUAGAUUUCAUUCAUACCUGCGAAAAACUCUGCCAUGAAGGAGACUGUGGACCAUGCUCUCGUACAUCAGUUAUUUCCUGCCGAUGCUCUUUCAGAACAAAGGAGCUUCCAUGUACCAGUCUCAAAAGUGAAGAUGCUACAUUUAUGUGUGAUAAGCGGUGUAACAAGAAACGGUUGUGUGGACGGCAUAAAUGUAAUGAGAUCUGCUGUGUGGAUAAGGAGCACAAGUGUCCUUUGAUUUGUGGGAGGAAACUCCGUUGUGGCCUUCAUAGAUGUGAAGAACCUUGUCAUCGCGGGAACUGCCAGUCAUGCUGGCAAGCCAGUUUUGAUGAACUAACCUGCCACUGUGGUGCAUCAGUGAUCUACCCGCCAGUUCCCUGUGGUACCAGACCCCCUGAGUGUACCCAGACCUGCGCCAGAGUCCAUGAAUGUGACCAUCCAGUGUAUCAUUCUUGUCAUAGUGAAGAGAAGUGUCCCCCUUGUACUUUCCUAACUCAGAAAUGGUGCAUGGGAAAACACGAGUUACGAAGCAACAUCCCCUGUCACCUGGCUGAUAUCUCUUGCGGAUUACCCUGCAGUGCCACACUACCAUGUGGGAUGCACAAGUGUCAGAGACUCUGUCACAAAGGCGAGUGUCUUGUGGACGAGGCCUGCAAGCAGCCCUGCACCACCCCCAGAGCUGACUGUGGCCACCCGUGUAUGGCACCCUGCCACCCCAGCUCACCCUGCCCCAUGACUGCUUGUAAAGCCAAGAUAGAGCUGCAGUGUGAAUGUGGACGAAGAAAAGAGAUGAUGAUUUGCUCCGAAGCUUCCAGUACUUAUCAAAGAAUAGCUGCUAUUUCCAUGGCCUCUAAAAUAACAGACAUGCAGCUUGGCGAUUCAGUGGAAAUCAGCAAGUUAAUUACUAAGAAGGAAAUUCACCAAGCCAGGCUGGAGUGUGACGAGGAGUGUUUAGCCUUGGAAAGGAAAAAGCGGUUAGCAGAGGCGUUUCAUAUUAGUGAGGAUUCUGAUCCUUUCAAUGUACGUUCUUCAGGGUCAAAAUUCAGUGACAGAUUUAAAGUUUGUCAGUGACAUUGAAAAAGAAAUGGAAGCCCUUGUGGAGGCCGUGAAUAAGGGAAAGAAUAGUAAGAAGAGCCACUGCUUCCCUCCCAUGAACAGAGACCAUCGCCGGAUCAUCCAUGACCUGGCCCAAGUGUAUGGCCUGGAGAGCGUGAGCUAUGACAGUGAACCAAAGCGCAAUGUCGUGGUCACUGCAGUCAGAGGGAAGUCUAUUUGUCCUCCUACCACGCUGACAGGUGUCCUUGAAAGGGAAAUGCAGUCACGGCCUCCACCACCAAUUCCUCACCACAGACAUCAGACCGACAAAAAUCCUGCAAGCAGUAAUUUACAGAAAAUAGCCAAGGAACCAGUAAUUGACUACUUUGAUGUCCAGGACUGAGAAGAUCAAGAUGCACUUAGAUAAAAGAAUGAUUAGGUGUGAUGGAGACUUGUUUGCCAGCAGAUAAAUCAUGCUUGUUCCCAGUUAACUGCCUGGUGGACUCACACACAGUCUCAUAUACUGUCUUGUACUGAUACGUCCAAAGCAUGAGUGUGUCAGAAAUCUCCUUGUCCUCUAUUCUGUGUGUAUAAAGUGUUUCAGUACGGCCAGA